AUUCCGGUUGAUCCUGCCAGAGGCACUGCUAUGGGGGUCCGACUAAGCCAUGCGAGUCAUGGGGGUGUCCCUUCUGGGCACCGGGGCGGACGGCUCAGUAACACGUCGGUAACCUACCCUCGGGAGGGGGAUAACCCGGGAAACUGGGGCUAAUCCCCCAUAGGUGUGGGGUACUGGAAGGUCCCCACACAGAAAGGGGCUCUGCCCGCCCGAGGAUGGGCCGGCGGCGAUUAAGUANUUGGUGGGGUAACGGCCCACCAAGCCGAAAUCGUACGGGCCAUAAAAAUGGAACCCCGAAAUGAAAACUGAAAAACGGGUCCAGGCCCNAAGGGGCGCAGCAGGCGCGAAACGCGGCCCGAGUGGUGGCCGCUCAUUAUUGGGCCUAAAGCGUCCGUAGCCGGGCCCGUAAGUCCCUGGCGAAAUCCCACGGCUCAACCGUGGGGCUUGCUGGGGAUACUGCGGGCCUUGGGACCGGGAGAGGCGGGGGGUACCCUGGGGUAGGGGUGAAAUCCUAUAAUCCCAGGGGGACCGCCAGUGGGAAGGCGCCCCGCUGGAACGGGUCCGACGGUGAGGGACGAAGCCCAGGGGAGCGAACCGGAUUAGAUACCCGGGUAGUCCUGGCUGUAAAGGAUGCGGGCUAGGUGCCGGGCGAACUCCGAGCUCGUCRGCUCCCGUAGGGAAGCCGUUAAGCCCGCCGCCCGGGGAGUACGGCCGCAAGGCUGAAACUUAAAAGAAUUGGCGGGGGACACUACAAGGGGUGGAGCGUGCGGUUUAAUUGGAUUCAACGCCGGGAACCUCACCGGGGGCGACGGCAGGAUGAAGGCCAGGCUGAAGGUCUUGCCGGACACGCCGAGAGGAGGUGCAUGGCCGCCGUCAGCUCGUACCGUGAGGCGUCCACUUAAGUGUGGUAACGAGCGAGACCCGCGCCCCCAGUUGCCAGUCCCUCCCGAUGGGGGGGAGGCACUCUGGGGGGACCGCCGGCGAUAAGCCGGAGGAAGGAGCGGGCGACGGUAGGUCAGUAUGCCCCGAAACCCCCGGGCUACACGCGCGCUACAAUGGGCGGGACAAUGGGAUCCGACCCCGAAAGGGGAAGGGAAUCCCCUAAACCCGCCCUCAGUUCGGAUNSCGGGCUGCAACUCGCCCGCGUGAAGCUGGAAUCCCUAGUACCCGCGUGUCAUCAUCGCGCGGCGAAUACGUCCCUGCUCCUUGCACACACCGCCCGUCACUCCAUCCCGAGCGGGGUCCGGAUGAGGCCCCGUCGCCGGUUCUGACCGGAUGGCGGGGUUGWKUCCG
rnacentral:rRNA from 1 species